rnacentral:sRNA from 1 species
AAAAAAAACAGAAAAA